CCUGGAUCUGCUCGACCUGGGCCGGGCUCAGCUGGUUGAGCCCCACCGGGCCCACGUACGCCCCCGCUCCGUACUCAAAAAUCGGAUUUUGAUGCGAGAACGGAGACGACGACGACGACGAAGAGGGAGAUGGGGAGUAGAAGAGGGGCGAGCUCACCGGGGGGAAAGGGUAGGGGGAGGAGAGAGGAGGCGGAGGAGAGGGGGUGGAGGAGGUGAGCUCACCAUAGGUGAGAGGAGAAGGAGAGGGAGAAGGUGAAGGUGAGUAAGGAGAGGAGGAGGAGGAGGAGGAGGAGAUAGUGGAAGCGCCAUUAAUAAAAGGCUCGAGCGCUUUCAUGAGCUCCUCACUGAAAGGGUCUG
rnacentral:lncRNA from 1 species